AUAUGUCCUAAUAUUUUUUAAAUAACUUCAACAGUGAUUUGGGGCAUGAUCUUCCCCUAAUGACAAAAAGUAGCACUUUAGCUUUCCAGCACUCAUAUUGUCUCUCUUAAUCUGGGUACAAACUUAACCAUCUUGUGGGUGCAUGUCUCAGAAUACCAUAAUACUCAUCUUUGUUAAAUGCUGCUUUCAGUUCUUCAGUGCAUUUUGAGAAUAGUGAAAAAUGGCUGAAUAUUUUAUUAACUCAAUGUCAAUCUCCAACCUGUCUCCAGCAUGUUCUGCACAGUUGUGUACAAUGUGGGCCAUUGAGUUUCCCUUUAUGAUGCAAGGAUUUUCAGGAUUUAACUUCUGGAACACAGAAUUGUUUUUUCCAAAAUUGACACUAGCAUUAUCAGCAGUGAAUGCUGAAACCAUGUCCGGUUGGAAGCCAUUUACUUUGGAAUUUAGUUGUGGAUACUACCAAAUGACUCAUUACUGUCCUCAUAAAAGUCCAGAAUAUUAUUUUGCAAGCCUAACAUUGGUGUCCAAUAUCUAAUAGUUAAUGGGAAUAGUUUUGUUGUGCAGUUUGUUGGUGUCACAGUGAACUAUAGGACUUAAGUCCUUUUAAACAACUUUCCACAGAGGCAAGUGGAAGCAUAUCUGUAAUAAUGGCUGCUGCUUUAAUGCGUCCGCAUGACAUCUUUUUUGAUAUUUCAGAGUCUGGAAACAUGGUUGAUGCAAGCUUAAUAAUGCAGUCUCCUGAACUAUAGGACUGAGAGUGCUGCACUGUGUGGUAAGCACUGGUAAUCUCAGCUGCUAUCUGUCUUGCAGUCAUCUUUGGGUUUAAGUAAAAAUCAGUCAGUAGUUUGGCAAGUGGCUUUUUCAGCCAUAUGUUUCUUGUGCAACUCACUUUUUCAGUAACUCUUAACAUCGUCCACCCCUCCAUGUGAAAUUGAAAAGCAACUUCACAAAUAGCUCACUGACUAUCUUCUUUGACUGGCCUCACCCAGUUAUAUACUCCUCCCCAGUCUUUGUUGUAGCUGCAUUUUAAUUUUUUUAUGUAGUUUCUAUUCGGCUUAUAUUAUGUAAACAUCAAAAUUCCUUUUCUCAUUCUGUUUUUUACGAGAAAUGAGGCGGGAGGGUUGCUCAUGACGUUGGAUGGAAACGUAUGUGUACUUGCGUUCCAAUAUACUUUUAUUUUACCACCAACCUGAGGGCUUUGAUGUAAAGUGAGAACCUUUUUUUGGCCCUCACUUUUUAUUUAGGGGAGGGAGGUGGGGGGCUAGGGAUUUGGUUUUGGAUUAAGGUGUCAAUUAGGUUGUUCACAGAAAUCAAUGGAUGUAAAGGCAAAGUCCUCAGUAAGUAUUUUAAACGUGUGCGUGUGUGUGUGUGUGUGUGUGUGUGUGUCCGUGCUUUGCAUGGUUUGCAUGUGUUUGGAAGCUCUAAUCUGUAUGGUGGCCAGUCAGCUCUGUGCUUUGGAUUAGUGAAGAGAAAAUAGGCCAACAUCUGUCACCCUGACAGAAGCCCAUCACCCAGUCUGUCCCUCCCCCACCCCUCCUCCUGUCACUGUUUCUAUUCCUUUAUCCUAUCACAAUGACGGGUGAAGACUGGACAUUGUGGAGUGUCAGAACUGAAAAUAAAACUUGUUCGACCAUCAAUUUUCAUAAAAAGAAUGUUUUUACUUACACUGCCUCUAAGAUGGUUUUUCAAAAUGUUUCCAUCACAACAUGUUAAAGGAUAUUAUAUUCAGGUUUAUUUCCAUGAUCAACUGAAACUUUUUCACAAAACUCUAGUCAAAAGAUACACUUUGGUAUGUUUAGCUCCUUUCAGGGUUCCAAAAUAAAGAUGCAACCAUCUACCCCUGUACAGAUAAUUUUGUCAUUCACAUAAUAAAAGUCAAUGUAUUGAGAUCACAAGCCUUGUGUGUGCUUUUAAAGCAGACAGCUGGGAUAUGGGAACCAAAGAGACAGUCUAUAUCUGGCUGCAUUCACCUAAGCAAUGUGAUCAAGAUGCGUUUUAGGGAUUGCCUUUUAUCGCGAUCCUCCUGAAAGCUGUUUAAAUUGAAUGAGUGCUUUGAAAACAGAAAACCUGCUGUGGUCUGUUCACAACUUCUUCUGAUAAGAGAUGCAUCUGAUUUUGCUGAUCAAUGUAUCUCUCAGAUUAGUUGAGCCCUGGAGAAUCAUCUCUUGUCUCUGGUCUGACUGCAUCCACAGACUGUAGUACUGCUGCUAUUUUUUAUUUAAAUUUUCUGCAUUGUCAUCUCACUACUUCAAACUCCAAUGGUUCUCUAAUCCUUAUCAAGUUCAUAGUUACCACAGGCCUGUGACUACCUCAAGAGUAGAGCUGUAUGAUAAUUACUGUUAUUUUGUACAAUAUCACAAUUGCAAAAGAUAGCAGGUUAGUAGGAUAUCAUAUUUCUGCUGCCAUGCAUAUAUACUUUGCUUGCCAGUGUUUAUAUUUGGUUUAUUGAAACUUUCAAUGCCUUUGAUGUCUCAAUUAAAGGUAGUGAAAGCGAAAUUCGGCCACCUAAUUUACAUUGAGUAUGUAUAUUAAGUGGGAGAGUCAAAAAAACUUUGUCAUUAUGUGUUACCAUAAUCAGUUGAACAACGCUCCCUGAGGGGCGUAAGCUUGCAAAUAGUACUUAGUGGCUGACUAAUUUUUGAGUGAGAAAGUCACAUAGCAGUCUGCAAUGCUGUGCAAUAAAUUUAGUUGCAGAACUGUGCAAUUUGCUUGGAGGUCUAAACCGACUGUACCUGAGAAACUGAAAUAUUCGAAUACAAACAUUUUAACUGAACGUUCACAUUACGAAGGAAAUGUAAGAGUCUGAGUUUGUGUAAAAAUGUUGUGCUCCAGUCUACCUUUCUACAUACAUUUAGGCUCAAACAAAUCCUUACAAACACUGGACUCCAGAGGCUGAACAGAACUGUAUCUAUCUGCUCCGACUGUGGGGGAAAAAUCAGGGGGAUUAUGUAGUCAGCGGGCUGAACAGAAGAGAGUGAUGUUAUUCCUAGGAGGUUAUGCUCAACUCUAGGCUUCCUAUGCUGGCUUUGACUUUGGUCGUGUGCAAUAAUAUUUAAAACAGCCUUUUGCAAAAUGCCUCAGACAGCGUGCGUUUGUGGCGCCUGGGUAGCGCACGCGACCCAUAUAAAGCUCCAGACGUCACGUGACUAAUUUGGUUUACACCGUCAUAUUGGCAGGAUCAGGAAGCAUAGAAAUUAAUGAGAGGAAUGAAUAGAAGCAGAUGACUUUCUGAAAGCGAAAUAUAGCGAUACACAACUAAACUUAAUAGACUAAAAAUUUGUGAUCCAUAUUUAGCUCCUAGUGUGCUUUUUAAAAGAAAUUGAUCAGAUAGCCGGUGGCGCAGGACUCCCAAUACCCUGUCAUUUACAACUACCUAAUCAACUUUCCCUCCCGCUAAACCGGAGAAUCGCUGAAGGCCUACAAAAGUCUCGUGGUAUAUAAAUGGACUCAGUCGGGAUUUGUGGCCGAGAUUCUCCUGUGGAGUUUACCACAACAGGAGUUUUUUCAUAGUUACUAAAAGGGUAAGUAGCCUGCAAUUAUACUAGCAUAGGCUAUGAUAAUGUUAGACAGCAACUAGUACCUGAAAUAGUGAGUUUAACAUUGAUUUUUGUUACAGGUCAAUCAUUCACAAAGAUUAAAUGACCCCUCCCUGAAAUCAUGGGCAUUGGUUAGAAGAGAAGUCAUCGUGUUAGGUGCUAAUUGUAAUCGCACAGCUGAACAGGGCGAGAGCUGCUCCCAUGUGUCUGCCAUGUUCUUCAGAUUAUGGCAGCAUAACCAAGAAAGGGAGGAAGAGACAACAGCGACAUCUAAAAAGUGCAAAAGGGACUGACUGAGUGACACUGCAAUGAGAAAGAUGGAGCUGUAAACAUGAAGCAGCAGCAAGGCAACACUGAAAAACCAACAGCAUCUCACUUAUUUUCAUUUUCUGGUCAAAAAGGCUGGGUUCACCAUCUCAACAUCACAUCCAUAUGUUCGAGCAUCACUGGACGACUUUGUGUCUUGCAGCUGCUGUGUUACUGGUGUAUUAAAAAUUAAAUGUCCCUUUUGUACUAAA